CUGACUUCUACCCUCCAGAACCGGAGAAGAAUCCUUUCUGUUUAAAUAUAUAAGUGUUGGUACCUAUUUAACCAUUUAUGGAGUCUCUACCAUACAAGAAGUACUGUGAUUCUUCACUGUGGGAGACUACGGCUUUUGAAGAGUCAGCCAACCAGCUUGAGAGUGAAUAUAAUCACCCAUUUUCUAAAAUGAAAGAGGAGACUUGGGACCAGCCUCCGCUGUGUGGUACCGAGCAAGAGCAGCUGCAGACAUGCAGAGCUGGUUUUCAACUCAGGCGAGGCAGUGUAUCAGCUGUGUAACCCUAGCAAUUCCUUCAACCCCUCUGCAGCUGUCUCUCCCCCUGCAAAAUGUAACAAUUGCUGCUGUGCCCCCUUACGGGAUGCUGAAAAAAGUUAAGUAAGAUCAAAUGAGUUUGUAUCUGGAAAACAUCAUGAUGGGAGGUUGAACUUGGUGGUAUAAGGGUAGAAAAUUGUGAUAUCUUUCCUUCCCAUAGAAGGCGGACAGCUAACACUCUUAAAGCACAAGACAGGUUAACAAAAGAAAAGCAUAACAAAUCUAUUUAAUCAAAGUUGUGUGUGACACAAGAGCCUUCAGAAGUGAAGGUCUAAAGAUCCAGGGGAAACUGUUUUUAUGUUUAGGUUGGAUAAAGAACGGAUAGCCAUGUAGAACUGUGAUUGGACAGGUUAUGAUCUAAUGGUAAUAGACUGAAGGGGAAACCCCGCAAGACCUGUCUGUUCAGGUUCUUCUUGGUCUCUCUGCAUAGCAUUCCUUUCCUGUCCAGUAGAGGUUAGGACACCUGUUACAUGAAGGUCCUCAAGAGAGAAGGGACAAAGUUACCUUUCUAGGUUUUAUGACUUGCUUUGCGGAAGAAGACUUUUAGUUUCUAUGACCCAACUUGGUGAAGAAGAAUUCUGGUUUCUAUGACUCACUUUGCAGAGGGUAGUGGGGAAGACAGGAGAAUGGGAGGAGAUCAAGAUGUUGAAGAGAUCUUGUUUCUGAGGCAUGCAUGAACUCCUGGGCUCAAGUGAUCCUCCUGCCUCAGCCUCCCAAGUAGCUGGCACUAUAGGUGUGCCACCAUGCCCAGCUAAUUAAAACAAUUUUUAAAAAUUUUUUUGUCUGUGUUGCUUAGCCUGGUCUCAAACUCCUGGCCUCAAGCAAUCCUACUGCCUCAGCCUCCCAAAAUGCUGGGAUAUAGGUGUGAGCUACCAUACCUGGCCCAUUUCACUGUUCUUGAUCUAUAAAUGUCUGUUCUUCAGGUUAUAAUGUAUGCCUGAUUCAAUCCUUCACUGAUCAAUGAAUAAAAUAUUUAACAUGUAUUUAUCUAUCUAUCUAUCUAUCUAUAUAUAUAUGAAUGACAGUGAUAAUUUUAAUUUUCACAGAGGGUAAGUAAGACCCUGCCUGUUUCCUUCCAAAUUUCUUCAUGGUCCAAGUAUCUUUAUGUAAUCACAGAAGACUGAGGGAAUAAUGACACCAUUUCAGGAUUUAAAAAAUAAUUGUGAAACAUUCCUUGAAGAGACCUUCCUCCACAUAAAGACAGCAGCAUCAGCUGCUCAACAGACACCCCUUGGUGAACAAGAUAGAGGCUCUCCAGGCAAGUCACAAGCAAGACUGCAACUGCAGUCAGGUUCUGUGGUCAGCCACAGAGGGACCUAAGGCAGCAGCAGUGGCUCAAGGAGAGCUGCAUCUACAGCUGAAGCUGAAGGAUUCUGAUGGACAUCAGACCUAGCUAUGGACAGAGGGGUAACCUGAAGAACUGAGGAAUGCAUGAGUCUGAGCCAAGGGGGCCUCAAGCCUACAGAUCUUUCUUGUCAUUAUUAAUGGCAUCCACAUUCUUUGAAUAUCCUCCUUAAGGCAGAUGUGGGGCUGAGGGGAAUUAAGAAUUAGGUUACUGUGUACUAUAUUCAAGAAGUUCUUAUUGUCAACUUAAAUAAAGACAGAGAAAAUUAUGUCUGAAUAUGUUGCGUUUACUCAGGAUUAUAAUCUGGAAUGCACAGAAUGGCAAGCCACCAGCCUGUUUGGUGAGAGAAGG
rnacentral:lncRNA from 1 species